rnacentral:lncRNA from 1 species
AUCAAUAGCGUGGUCUGUGCUAUGUGAUUGCAUUGUUACUGCUGGAAUGAGCAAUUUCAGAUCGCGUCAUGAUGGCGUGCCCCGUUAGCGUCGUGAUCGGCGUGCCCUGUUAGCAUCAUGGUUGGCGUGCCCUGUGUUAGCGUCAUGAUUGGCGUGCCCUGUGUUAACACGAUAUGUUUUAUUUAUUCGUGUGCUGUGAUUUCAACACCAGCAUUGGUCAGAAGAAACUCGUAAGCAGUAAGGAAAGGAGGCUGCUCUUCAUCAGCCAGAAGUUUGAUACAAAGGAGUACACAAGUUGAUUUCAUUACUUAUAAGCAAAGUCAAUUUUUUGGAUAUAGAUGGGCAGCAAUUUUAUCGAGCCAUGACAUCUGAUUUCUGUUAUCCUGCUUAUGGUGACCUGUCACUUGAUGAUAAGCCAAACCUAAGUUGCCUCUAGGAAUUAUGAAUGUCAAAUUUGGGACACAGCUGUGCAGUUUUUUAAUCGAGCUCUGACAUCUGAAGACCGCCAUUAUUACCUGUUGACGGGACCAAGAAAAAAAUUUUGCCGGUAUCAUCACAUAACUUCCGCCACAUACCAAGUAAUCUCCCUGUGGACUCCUUUGUCAAACUUC